GUCCUCGUAGCUCAAUGGAUAGAGCAUCGGAUUGCGGAUCCGGGGGUUGUGAGUUCGACUCUCACCGGGGACA
rnacentral:tRNA from 3 species